rnacentral:tRNA from 1 species
GGCCGGAUGGUGUAGUUGGUUAUCACGUAUCCUUAACAUUCCCUUGUUCGGAUAAGGUCCUGGGAUCGAACCCCAGUCUGGUCA